rnacentral:rRNA from 1 species
UACGUAGGCAGCGAGCGUUGUUCGGAGUUACUGGGCGUAAAGGGUGUGUAGGCGGUUGUUUAAGUUUGGUGUGAAAUCUCCCGGCUCAACUGGGAGGGUGCGCCGAAUACUGAAUGACUCGAGUGUGGGAGAGGUGAGUGGAAUUCCUGGUGUAGCGGUGAAAUGCGUAGAUAUCAGGAGGAACACCGGUGGUGUAGACGGCUUACUGGACCAUAACUGACGCUGAGACACGAAAGCGUGGGUAGCAAACAGG